ACACUGCGCACAGACAAGAAAGGAAAUACAUUUUUCGGAGUUGUGAAACUUUCUAUUUCGUAAGGAGUUAUGAACGUGAAAUAAUGACACAGACUGGCUACACAAUCUCAUCUGCCGCAGAUACUGUAUCAGGAGGACAGCGCGUUUGUUUGAGGCACUUUUCACUUCAACUGUUUCUGACAUUUUCUCUGUUUCUCGUCAGUUAUACCAAAGAAAAGUUCAAAAACUGCGACAGAUUGCUUAAUUUGUUUAUUUCUAAUAAGGAGUUGGAGGCUGUGGAGAAGCAGAUCCUUGACCUCGUGGGGAAGCAGGCUCAGCUGAGAGAGCGGAGAGCCGUGCUGGAAACAUUCAGGGGUUGAUGCUCAUAAGUCCGGGAUACCCAUGAUCCUUAAGGGUGAAGAGAGCAUCGGAGCGGUCGUGCUUCACGCCGGGGUUAAUGACACCAAGCUGCGGCAGACGCAGACACUAAAGAGGGACUUCAGGAGCCUGAUCGAGACGGUGCGCAGCAUAUCGCCUGCACGAUGAUCAUGUCAGGACCGCUUCACCAUGUAUAGAUGAGGACACGAAAGGUUCAGUAGACUUUUUGCUUUAAAUGAAUGGUUAUUGUCAUGGUGUAAAGAACAGAAACUGCUUUUUGUUAACAUUUGGAAUCUGUUCUGGGAGCGUCCUAGGCUUUUUAGUGCUGAUGGCCUGCACCCCAGCAGAGUCGGAGCAGAACUUCUCUCGGACAACAUCUCCAGGACUCUACGCUCCAUAUGACUAGGCAGUUUGUGAAGACAGAUAAUCAAGAGAUGUGACAAACUGUACAGAAGUCAGUUCCAGAUCCACCCUCUACACCAGACCUCUCUCUCAUAUGGAUUGCUGUCUACUAGCAUAUUGUUUUCUCUUCAGACUUCGGUGGAUGCAGAUAUUACUCAGGGACAUGAAUACUUGAAUAUUGCAAGAAUAGAGAAAGUAAGAAUUACAUAAGAUUUAAGAAUUUAAUGUUAAUUGCUUAAACUAUAUAUUAUACAUACAGUACAGACCAAAAAUACCGAAAAAAAACAGUAAUAUUGUGAAAUAUUAUUACAACUUAAAAUAAUAGUUUUCUAUUUGAAUAUACUUAAAAAAAAAAAAAAAUUAUUCCUGUGAUGCAAAGCUGAAUUUUCAGCAUCAUUACUCCAGCCUUCAGUGUCACAUGUAACAUCCAGUCUAUCAC
ensembl:lncRNA